rnacentral:rRNA from 1 species
CCGGGAAACCGGGGCUAAUACCGGAUAGUUCUUUUCCCCGCAUGGGGGAGAGUGGAAAGGCGGCUUCGGCUGCCACUUACAGAUGGACCCGCGGCGCAUUAGCUAGUUGGUGAGGUAACGGCUCACCAAGGCGACGAUGCGUAGCCGACCUGAGAGGGUGAUCGGCCACACUGGGACUGAGACACGGCCCAGACUCCUACGGGAGGCAGCAGUAGGGAAUCUUCCGCAAUGGACGAAAGUCUGACGGAGCAACGCCGCGUGAGUGAUGAAGGUUUUCGGAUCGUAAAGCUCUGUUGUUAGGGAAGAACAAGUGCCGUUCGAAUAGGGCGGCACCUUGACGGUACCUAACCAGAAAGCCACGGCUAACUACGUGCCAGCAGCCGCGGUAAUACGUAGGUGGCAAGCGUUGUCCGGAAUUAUUGGGCGUAAAGCGCGCGCAGGCGGUCUCUUAAGUCUGAUGUGAAAGCCCACGGCUCAACCGUGGAGGGUCAUUGGAAACUGGGGGACUUGAGUGCAGAAGAGGAAAGU